CUGGGUGGGAUGGGGAGUGAGUGAGCGGCUACGUGUUCCUUAGCUGCUGGCUGGGGUUAAACCAGGACAAGACAUUAAACAACUGUGACUUUCAUGUCAGAAACCAGACCAUUACAGAGUUCUUCAAACCAGUUUCAAACAAAGACCUUGGCCAUAAAGACAGAACUGUGUUGUGUUCACCAGACAAAGGAAAUGUAAAAGAUGCAGGAAUCGGACUGUCAGUUUUAUGCACUGAACGUUUUGAAAAGAAAAUAUCUCCUCCAAAGAAGGUCAGAAGAAAAAAGAUGCCAGACCAAACACCAAACACAAGUCCUGUGGUAGAUGCCUUUCGGAGAGGAAUUAAGGAGGAAAAGGACAGUGUAAACAUUUUAGAGAAUGGCAGAGCAUGCAAGGCACUGGGUUCAUUGUACCCAAAAGUUGUGAUUCAAAAACUCCUUGUUACCACAGGGUCUCAGAGCUUUUUCUUGGCCAAAAAGGAUAAAAUUGUCAAGUCAGAACAGGGAAGAAAUGAGAAGUGUCUGGGUGUAACAAGAGCACCAUUGUCUUCUGGAAAUAGUUGGGAACAGCAAACUGACUGUAUGGAUCUAGAAGACACUAGUUCAGACUCUGACAAAUGGGUUUCAUCAUCAGAAGCUGAUACCCGAAAACCCUGUGCUGGAAAUAAUGGCACUGCGAACAACAUGCCUCUGUGCCAAAACCCAGGUCUUCCCAUGAAAUUGCCCUGCGCUCCAACUGACUCUGAAUUUAGGUUGUCGCUGGAAGCGCUCCGCAGAGAAAGGAAGCGGAAGAAACAUAGAAUGAAACAAUCUAAGCCACAUCCUGUGAAGCCAUUCUCAGGAACAAGUGUAUCACAUCAGGGAAAUGGAUGUCCUUUAAGAAAAAUACAACAUUCUGGUUCAAGGGAGACUGCCUCAGCACUGGGACUUGGCCAGCGGUGCAAGGAGCUGAUCUGGCUGAAAAUGGGAGUUGGGAAGUUCUGGGCCACAUCAGCUCCAUGAAGUAGCUUGCCAUGACGUGUCCAGGUGCUGGUGCCAGCUUAAGGCAGGAAGCAGAAAAGCAUAAUGACCCAUCACAACCAAAGCCAAAGCAGGUUUCAAAACAUGAGGCAUCUUCUCCAAAUGCACUGAGAACAUCAUCUGAGAUGGCCAGUGGUAUGCGAAAGAGCCAGUCUGUUCCUUCAUGCUGCCUUAGAUCAAAGAUGUCUUCUGGACGAUCCAAACAAAUAGACUUUCCUGGGAAAAGAAAACAUGCUGCCAUGAGUGCAGAUGCAGACAGUUCAAUUCAAUCUGAAGUAUCAAGUUUGAAUGACCCUGCUUUUAGUAGAUCAUCUGCAAAAUGCAAAAAUAGAAAGUCUGACUUUGUAAAAAAUAUCCUUUUAAAGUCUACUUGUGGUGAUGUUCUGCAAUUAAUGGAGGCUGCUGCUCUACCUGGACAUGAUUCUACUCUUCCAGAGGAAUACCUCAACUCAAGCAAUGACAAUGAGAAGAAUAAUUGCUCCUCUGUAGGUUUGUCAUCUUCAUAUUCUGCACACAGUCCUGGUAAAAGUAACCACAUUUCUGUUGUGGAUACCAAAGAGAAUCAAUUGCAGGUGGCUAACUCAUGCUUUUUCUUGGAAAAGUCCCUUCCUUUUUCUCAGGAAAAAAGUACUGUGUUGCCUUCUCUCCACCGCUUAACACAAACAAAAGGUGUGAAAUCUCAUCUCCAGAAUGCUGGCUUAUCUCAGGUAUUGGAUGCUAAGAAAGAGCAAGAUGGGAAAAGACCAGAAAGAUGUGCACACAAUAAAGCUUACAGUAUUAAAUCCAGCAACAGUUUUUCAAAAACAAAAGACAAGACUCCAGAAAAUGUUUCUGAUUCUUGUUCAGUGGAAGGUUCUAGGAAACUUGCACUCUCAGAAGAGACUGAUAAAAGUGUUCCCUGUUUGUUGCCCUUUAAAGAAGGAUGCAU